rnacentral:rRNA from 1 species
CCUACGGGGCGCAGCAGUGAGGAAUAUUGGUCAAUGGGCUUACGCCUGAACCAGCCAAGUCGCGUGAGGGAAGACUGCCCUAUGGGUUGUAAACCUCUUUUGUCAGGGAGCAACGCCGGCUACGUGUAGCCUUACUGAUAGUACCUUAAGAAAAAUCAUCGGCUAACUCCGUGCCAUCAUCCGCGGUAAUACGGAGGAUGCGAGCGUUAUCCGGAUUUAUUGGUUUUAAAGGGUGCGUAGGCGGAAUGCCAAGUCAGCGGUAAAAUCGCUGGUCU